GGAGGAUUAGUCUAAUUGGUAAGGCAGCAGUCUUGAAAACUGCCGGGUUAACACCCUUGGGGGUUCGAGUCCCUCAUCCUCCG
rnacentral:tRNA from 5 species